GGCACACAACUUACCAUUCCAGAGGUGUCCUCUCAUACCACACAGACUAGGGUCUCCGAGACCUCUACCCCCACUUGCUUCCUCCUGACUUUGAGGAUCUACUCUGCUGCAGGAACUCACUUAGUGCCUGCCUGGUGGAGCUCAGUUCA